CAAAGGCUUGGUCCUGACUUUACUAUCAGCUCUAACUGAACUUACACAUGCAAGUCUCCGCAUUCCUGUGAGGAUGCCCUUAAUCCCCUGCCCGGGGACGAGGAGCCGGCAUCAGGCACGCCCCGGCAGCCCAAGACGCCUUGCUAAGCCACACCCCCAAGGAAACUCAGCAGUGAUAAAUAUUAAGCCAUAAGCGAAAGCUUGACUUAGUUAAGGUUAAGAGGGCCGGUAAAACUCGUGCCAGCCACCGCGGUUAUACGAGAGACCCUAGUUGAUAACUACCGGCGUAAAGAGUGGUUACGGAAAAAUAUUCAAUAAAGCCGAACACCCCCUCAGCCGUCAUACGCACCUGGGGGCACGAAGAUCUACUGCGAAAGCAGCUUUAAUUAUACCUGAACCCACGACAGCUACGACACAAACUGGGAUUAGAUACCCCACUAUGCCUAGCCGUAAACUUUGAUGAAAACAUACAACUGACAUCCGCCAGGGAACUACAAGCGCCAGCUUAAAACCCAAAGGACUUGGCGGUGCCUCAGACCCACCUAGAGGAGCCUGUUCUAGAACCGAUAACCCCCGUUCAACCUCACCACCUCUUGUUUCCCCCGCCUAUAUACCACCGUCGUCAGCUUACCCUGUGAAGGCCUUAUAGUAAGCAAAAUGGGCAAAACCCAAAACGUCAGGUCGAGGUGUAGCGCAUGGGGUGGGAAGAAAUGGGCUACAUUCUCUAAAUUAGAGCACUACGAACCACGCU
rnacentral:rRNA from 1 species